rnacentral:rRNA from 1 species
GUAGUUAGCCGGGGCUUCCUCCUUGACUACCGUCACUUUCUUCGUUGCCAAGGACAGAGGUUUACAAUCCGAAAACCUUCUUCCCUCACGCGGCGUUGCUGGGUCAGGCUUGCGCCCAUUGCCCAAUAUUCCCCACUGCUGCCUCCCGUAGGAGUCUGGACCGUGUCUCAGUUCCAGUGUGGCCGAUCAGCCUCUCAGCUCGGCUACCCAUCGCAGGCUUGGUGGGCUGUUAUCUCACCAACUACCUAAUGGGACGCGAACCCCUCCUUCAGCGGAUUGCUCCUUUGACCUCAUCCCGAUGCCGGGUCGUGGUCUUAUGCGGUAUUAGCACUUGUUUCCAGGUGUUAUCCCCCUCUGAAGGUCAGGUUGUUCACGCGUUACUCACCCGUUCGCCACUAAAAUUUAUCUUCCAUCCGAAAACUUCUGAUAAAUCUCCGUUCGACUUGCAUGUGUUAGGCACGCCGCCAGCGUUCGUCCUGAGCCAUAAUCAAACUCUGA